CUCCCUUUGUUGGCGCGACCGAUGAGAGUACGUGAGCGGCGCGUGCAGCGGUCACGGUAGCACGUGCGUCGCCUUUGAAUCUCCGUUAAGGUGUGUUCUGUGAAAUGUUUCUUUGGCGGGUUUUUUUUUUUGUAGUGUUUCAUGAGAUACGUAUAUUUCAAAUAAUGCUAAAGUGCUCACAGUGUGACUGUGCAUCGUCGUAUCCUGUAUAUAAUAAUGACAAAAAUAAUAAGGGGUUAUUUUUAAAAGUACGCAAGUUGAAGUUUGGAGACGGUUAAAAAAAAAACUUCGCGUUCGAGUCGGUCAAGUUGGAAUACUUUACCAGCAACAAUUAAAUGAAAUGUUGUACGAUAUCAUUUUCGGGCCUUUUCAUGGCUGUUUCUGUGCUGAUAUCAUUCAUAAUAUGUAUUUUCCAGACGGUCCUCUUUCCUUCCGGGAUGCGCUGCAGGCGUCCCGCGUGCAGGGCACGUGCCCGGCUGCUCCCGUGUGCGCGCUGCGCGCUCCCUUCUGGGAACAGAGCGGCAGCUGCAGAGGUGUGGAAGGAUCCAUUAUUUCUCCAGAUCCCAAGGUCUGGCACAUGAGGGCCCUAAUGAGUUGGACUCUGCACUUGUGCCCUGAACACUUGAAGUGA
rnacentral:lncRNA from 1 species